AGCGCAGACGGUUGAUUAAGUCUGAUGUGAAAGCCCGGAGCUCAACUCCGGAAUGGCAUCGGAAACUGGUUAACUUGAGUGCAGUAGAGGUAAGUGGAACUCCAUGUGUAGAGGUGGAAUGCGUAGAUAUAUGGAAGAACACCAGUGGCGAAGGCGGCUUACUGGACUGUAACUGACGUUGAGGCUCGAAAGUGUGGUAGCAAACA
rnacentral:rRNA from 1 species